rnacentral:lncRNA from 13 species
AUGGUGACACAGGUAAAAUGCAACAAUUUGAUCAGUCAUGGUUUAGAAAGCCUUUCACCUUCUAUGGGUCAAUUCCAAGGCAACAGGCAUUCUGGGGAAUGUGUAAAGUCCCAGGCAAGGCGGCUGCGUGAACAGGGAAGCCCCCUCCCUCAAGCUGCUCCCUUUAGCAUCCCGCAGGCCUGGCUCUCAGCUCCCCACAGGACAAAAGGCGGCUUUCCUUCACUGCCUCUGAGGUUAACAAUUGGACCAUUCACACUGCGACCUGUUGGAAAACAGGUCCGUGCAGCAUAUGCAGGCACAAUCCUCACACACAUUUACCCACAUCCUCACACUGCCAAUGCACUCAGUACACACCCACACACUCUCACACACAGACUCCUACACACCCUCAUAGUUAUGGAUGCACACCCAGACACACACUCUCACAUGCAAGCACACACUCCCAUACACUUUUACACACAGUCUCACACAACACCCUUCCUCUACACACACACACACACCCAGAAAAUGCGAACUCACACGCUGACACACACACACACACACACUUUCUCAUACACAGACACUCGCUUCUUCUGGGCCAGUGUUACCCAAGGUUGGUGGGAUUCACACACACACACACACACAUUUACACACACAGAUAUAUACCUACUCAUUCCUAUGCACAUGCAUACACACACACACUCAUUUCUACACACAUGCUCAUAUACUCACACACAGAGACACAUGGACACACACUGUCAUACUUAUGCACAUGCACAGACUCACACACAAACACAUACACAUACACACUGUCAUUCCUAUGCACAUGCACAGAAACACACACACACAUUCCCUUUCCUCACACACAUACACGCUCAUUCCUAUGCACAUGCAUACUCGUACAUACAUUUACUCCUACACACAUGCUCAUAUGCUCACAUACACACACACACUGUCGUUCCUAUGCACAUGCACACAUACUCCCUUCCCCUACACUCACACACACUCAGACACACUCCCUUUCCCUCACACUUUACACAGACACACACACACCCUCCCCCUCACACACUCACACAUGCACUCAGACACUACCUCCCCCUCACACACACACACUCCCUCCCCCAUACCCACUCACAUAUAGACAUACAGACACUGCCUCCCCCACACCCACUCACAUACAGACACACUCACACAGUCUGA